AAAAGAUGAACCAAAAAUAUGAGUACAUACAUGUUGUCCUCCAACAAAUAAAAAAUAGGAACAAAAAAAAGAUGCAUAUUCCAAAAGGCCACAUGCUUCAGAUUUUAGCAAAUGUAACUACAACUAUCAGUUCUGUGGGGGGAAGAUUUAAAAGGUAACAUAGUAACAUGCUGUAUGAGCAGUGGCUGCAACUCCUUUUACUGAUGGCGCGAACUUAGAGUCAGCAUCCCCAUACAUAAACUGUGCAUAAGCUGGAGUACCCUGCCAAGAAUAUAGAUAGGCAAAAUGUAC
rnacentral:lncRNA from 1 species